UCUCCGUUGGUGAACCAGCGGAGGGAUCAUUACCGAGUUUACAACUCCCAAACCCAAUGUGAACGUUACCAAACUGUUGCCUCGGCGGGGUCACGCCCCGGGUGCGUCGCAGCCCCGGAACCAGGCGCCCGCCGGAGGAACCAACCAAACUCUUUCUGUAGUCCCCUCGCGGACGUUAUUUCUUACAGCUCUGAGCAAAAAUUCAAAAUGAAUCAAAACUUUCGACAACGGAUCUCUUGGUUCUG
rnacentral:misc_RNA from 1 species